AUUGCUUUUCCGAGGAGCAGAGCGUCAGCCCUCACAUCUGCUGUUUCCUCUGCCAGUCGCUCUCCAGAAGCCCCCGGGGCGACGGCAGAGCCAGCGGGCGGGCACCUUCCUUCUGUACCACGCUGCCGUCCGCCUAGCCGUGCGUCAGCCACGGUACGGUCGCUCGAGCUUCAGAUCUCUAAAGGGCACUUUGUUCUGAGCCCUGGUGUGUGUCUGAGAUGAAGCCUCGUUUUUUUUUUUUUUUUUAAAAGAAGCGGGAUCGUGCGGUGAACACACUCACGCUGGAAGAGGGGGACCAGCAACGUUGCUUGGCAAAUUACAGGUUUUCUUUUAUUGCAAUUAAAAAAAAAAAGCCCACCGGGAAAACGGAGUCUUUUUUUUUUUUUAAUUCAUUUGAAAUGGAAGAUGGUCUUUUGUGGUCAGGGGAGGGGGGCACCCCUGUGGACUUUUUUGAUGUAUUGGGACAAAGACUCCUCUCCUCAUGACUUCACGGACAUGGUUCAUUUCUCUCUGUCCCUGGACCAGUCUGAGGGUUGCACAGUUUGUUUUGAAGAUGCCAGCCUAUUCAAGAUGCUGGGUCGGUUGCCGUUGAGGGACAAGGGACUGACGUGACACCAGAGUCUUCCCUAUCCUAGCCACUUGGAUUUCCUUAAUUUGAUGGAGUUCUUCAUCAAACACUACAAAAUGUGUGUACAACAGAGACAUCAUCGGGCUUCGGAGGGGCCUCUCCAGGCUGGCUGAUUAGCCAAUAACUCCCGAGUUUUCCCUGACUCUAGAACUGGACUGGACUGGGUGUGGGAUAUAGACAAUCAAGGAGGCACAUUAGGAAUCGAGGUGCCCAAUCUAUGUAUGUGUGUGAGAGAGAAACAUGUGGAGUCAGGUUGGUACCUGCUGACUGACAGGGACUUCUCCAUGAUCCUGGCAAAGAGGAAGCCAGGACAGCAAGUGGUCUUAGUCCAAAUGGAACGCCACACAGGCAGACAGGGGUUCGAAAUACACCUAAAAAACCACAACCUCCCACCAAAACAAACCACGAGUCCAUUUAAGUUAAGGGUGCCCACCACUAUCCCAUGAGUAGUCCUUUGAGAGCUCUUGGGUUUCAGCCUCAGUCCAGCAGUUAAGCUACAGAGGUCCCAGCUCCUAAUCAGUAACCAUAGCUUACAGCUACAUAUCCCCAGGGACGGAGGACAUCCAUCCCAGGGGAGAAUGAGUCUGCCUGUGGCCUACAUAUGUUCCUUGAUUUUUCUCAUCCAUGUCAUGUUAAUUUCUGUCUCUGGCCUUAACAGGGUUGGUUGUUCCUAUGAAAAAAUAAAGUACCUUGUGGCCUUGGCUCCUGCUUCUGUCCUUGGGAGAGGACUGACUACCUGGUCCUCUGGUGGCAGGUGAGGCCAGAUAGUCCCACGAUAACUUGAGGCAAAAUGAAUGACAGUCGUCUUUCGUAGAGUGUGAUUUCCUCCUCCGCUAGGUGCUUCGUUUACAUCCCAGCCCCGGGGGACAACGAUAGGUGACAAAAUGCUCUGGAGCAUGGCCGGUCAGACCCAUUUCUAUCAAGUUGACGAGGAAAAUGGUUCCUGCCAGACUCGCCUGUGUCACACCACGGAGAACAUUCAGUGACAGAACAUGUCACCCUGAGAGGGCAGUGACUCACCUCUCUGCUUGUCAUUUGAUGAGAAAGAUGUCCUCCAGGAAGGCAGGCAGCCCCGGCGUCAGCCAUGUAUGCAUGGCGGUAACCGAAUGUCACAGGUCUCUCUCCCCAGCCCCUCUUACCUCAGAACUUGGAUUAUCUGGGAGCAGAACAAGGGGGUUCGAGUGUCACAUAGAACAUGUAAUUAUAUGUAAUUAAAUUAUAGUAAAUUAAAUAUCAUCUGCGGACU